rnacentral:pre_miRNA from 1 species
GAACCUGGGCUCGAGGUGAGGGGUGCUCUCUGUGCGUGAGGGACAUGGCAAUCGAAUUGUCUCACACAGAAAUCGCACCCUCUCCUCGGCCUGCUCA